rnacentral:rRNA from 1 species
ACGAGAAAGCGGUAGCAAUACUGCCGGUAAAGUGGCGAACGGGUGAGUAACACGUAGGUAACUUGCCCUUGGGACUGGAAUAACCUCGAGAAAUCGGGGCUAAUACCGGAUAAUGCAGCGGACCCGCAUGGGUAUGUUGUUAAAGUGGUCUUGGCUUGCCAAGUUCACACCUAAGGAUGGACCUGCGCCCCAUUAGCUAGUUGGUGAGGUAACGGCCCACCAAGGCGACGAUGGGUAGCCGGCCUGAGAGGGUGUCCGGCCACACUGGGACUGAGAUACGGCCCAGACUCCUACGGGAGGCAGCAGUGAGGAAUAUUGGUCAAUGGCCGAAAGGCUGAACCAGCAACGCCGCGUGAGGGAUGAAGAUCCAAGGAUCGUAAACCUCUGUUAGAAGGGACGAAUAAGUCCAUGAUGAACAAUCAUGGGCCCUGACGGUACCUUCAGAGAAAGCCCCGGCUAACUCCGUGCCAGCAGCCGCGGUAAUACGGGGGGGGCAAGCGUUGUCCGGAAUUAUUGGGCGUAAAGGGCGCGUAGGCGGAAUGGUAAGUUGAGGGUGAAAGCCCGGGGCUUAACUCCGGGUCUGCCUUCAAGACUGUCAUUCUUGAGUAUGGAAGAGGGGAGUGGAAUUCCCGGUGUAGCGGUGAAAUGCGUA